rnacentral:rRNA from 1 species
CCUACGGGAGGCAGCAGUGAGGAAUAUUGGUCAAUGGGCGCAAGCCUGAACCAGCCAAGUAGCGUGAAGGAUGACUGCCCUACGGGUUGUAAACUUCUUUUAUAAAGGAAUAAAGUGAGGCACGUGUGCCUUUUUGUAUGUACUUUAUGAAUAAGGAUCGGCUAACUCCGUGCCAGCAGCCGCGGUAAUACGGAGGAUCCGAGCGUUAUCCGGAUUUAUUGGGUUUAAAGGGAGCGUAGGCGGCCUGUUAAGUCAGUGGUGAAAGUUUGUGGCUCAACCGUAAAAUUGCAGUUGAUACUGGGAGCCUUGAGUAUAGUUGAGGCAGGCGGAAUUCGUGGUGUAGCGGUGAAAUGCUUAGAUAUCACGCAGAACCCCGAUUGCGAAGGCAGCCUACUAAAC